GCAACACCAGYUUAUACUGAAAGUGAAAAGAAGGAAUAAGAAUUUCCUUUCUUGUAGUGAAARUAUUAAUACUUCAAUAGGAAGAAGGAAAGCUUUAUUUGGAAAGUUCUGCGGUAUGUGAAACACAAUUACAAGUAUUGAUGAUACUGAAGAAAUAAGGCUCUGCAGCUUAGAAACCUGUGUCAAUAGUAGGAAAGUGCUGGCACCUGUGGCAGCCAGAAUGGUGAAAAGGAGCUUGGUACCUCUGAUGUACAGAAUGAAUUCUGAGAUAUUAGAUAGAUUCUCCCCAAAGGACCAAUCUUUUCACCCAAGCAAUCCUAAGCCCCAGAGAGAAAAAUCAUGUCACAAUKUGAAGAAGGACAGAAGAUGGGCUAUCAGAAGAUGACCGACAGCAUCACUGUGAGCAGACCAGCC